AUUGAACGCUGGCGGCAGGCCUAACACAUGCAAGUCGAGCGGAUGAAGGGAGCUUGCUCCUGGAUUCAGCGGCGGACGGGUGAGUAAUGCCUAGGAAUCUGCCUGGUAGUGGGGGAUAACGUCCGGAAACGGGCGCUAAUACCGCAUACGUCCUGAGGGAGAAAGUGGGGGAUCUUCGGACCUCACGCUAUCAGAUGAGCCUAGGUCGGAUUAGCUAGUUGGUGGGGUAAAGGCCUACCAAGGCGACGAUCCGUAACUGGUCUGAGAGGAUGAUCAGUCACACUGGAACUGAGACACGGUCCAGACUCCUACGGGAGGCAGCAGUGGGGAAUAUUGGACAAUGGGCGAAAGCCUGAUCCAGCCAUGCCGCGUGUGUGAAGAAGGUCUUCGGAUUGUAAAACACUUUAAGUUGGGAAGAAGGGCAGUAAGUUAAUACCUUGCUGUUUUGACGUUACCUACAGAAUAAGCACCGGCUAACUUCGUG
rnacentral:rRNA from 1 species